AAAUUGAAGAGUUUGAUCAUGGCUCAGAUUGAACGCUGGCGGCAGGCCUAACACAUGCAAGUCGAACGGUAACAGGAAGCAGCUUGCUGCUUCGCUGACGAGUGGCGGACGGGUGAGUAAUGUCUGGGAAACUGCCUGAUGGAGGGGGAUAACUACUGGAAACGGUGGCUAAUACCGCAUAACGUCGCAAGACCAAAGAGGGGGACCUUCGGGCCUCUUGCCAUCAGAUGUGCCCAGAUGGGAUUAGCUUGUUGGUGAGGUAACGGCUCACCAAGGCGACGAUCCCUAGCUGGUCUGAGAGGAUGACCAGCCACACUGGAACUGAGACACGGUCCAGACUCCUACGGGAGGCAGCAGUGGGGAAUAUUGCACAAUGGGCGCAAGCCUGAUGCAGCCAUGCCGCGUGUAUGAAGAAGGCCUUCGGGUUGUAAAGUACUUUCAGCGGGGAGGAAGGUGUUGUGGUUAAUAACCACAGCAAUUGACGUUACCCGCAGAAGAAGCACCGGCUAACUCCGUGCCAGCAGCCGCGGUAAUACGGAGGGUGCAAGCGUUAAUCGGAAUUACUGGGCGUAAAGCGCACGCAGGCGGUCUGUCAAGUCGGAUGUGAAAUCCCCGGGCUCAACCUGGGAACUGCAUUCGAAACUGGCAGGCUUGAGUCUUGUAGAGGGGGGUAGAAUUCCAGGUGUAGCGGUGAAAUGCGUAGAGAUCUGGAGGAAUACCGGUGGCGAAGGCGGCCCCCUGGACAAAGACUGACGCUCAGGUGCGAAAGCGUGGGGAGCAAACAGGAUUAGAUACCCUGGUAGUCCACGCCGUAAACGAUGUCUACUUGGAGGUUGUGCCCUUGAGGCGUGGCUUCCGGAGCUAACGCGUUAAGUAGACCGCCUGGGGAGUACGGCCGCAAGGUUAAAACUCAAAUGAAUUGACGGGGGCCCGCACAAGCGGUGGAGCAUGUGGUUUAAUUCGAUGCAACGCGAAGAACCUUACCUGGUCUUGACAUCCACAGAACUUUCCAGAGAUGGAUUGGUGCCUUCGGGAACUGUGAGACAGGUGCUGCAUGGCUGUCGUCAGCUCGUGUUGUGA
rnacentral:rRNA from 1 species